GCACAGGUAGCUCAGUUGGCUAGAAUGUGGUGCUAAUAACGCCAAGGUUGCAGGUUCGAUCCCUAAAGCCCCAUAUU